AACGAACGCUGGCGGCAUGCCUAACACAUGCAAGUCGAACGAGACCUUCGGGUCUAGUGGCGCACGGGUGCGUAACGCGUGGGAACCUGCCCUUAGGCUCGGAAUAACUCCCCGAAAGGGGUGCUAAUAUCGGAUAAUGUCUUCGGACCUAAGAUUUAUCGCCUGUGGAUGGGCCCGCGUUGUAUUUGCUAGUUGGUAGGGUAAAAGCCUACCAAGGCGACGAUCCAUAGCUGGUCUGAGAGGAUGAUCAGCCACACUGGGACUGAGACACGGCCCAGACUCCUACGGGAGGCAGCAGUGGGGAAUAUUGGACAAUGGGCGAAAGCCUGAUCCAGCAAGUCCGCGUGAGUGAUGAAGGCCUUAGGGUUGUAAAGCUCUUUUACCCGGGAUGAUAAUGACAGUACCGGGAGAAUAAGCUCCGGCUAACUCCGUG
rnacentral:rRNA from 1 species